GAUAAAGCUAACAGCUCCAGAU
rnacentral:snRNA from 1 species